UACGUAGGGACCAAGCGUUGUUCGGAUUUACUGGGCGUAAAGGGCGCGUAGGCGGCAAUUCAAGUCAUCUGUGAAAUCUCCGGGCUUAACCCGGAACGGUCAGAUGAUACUGCUUUGCUAGAGUGCGGAAGGGGCAAUCGGAAUUCUUGGUGUAGCGGUGAAAUGCGUAGAUAUCAAGAGGAACCCCUGAGGUGAAGACGGGUUGCUGGGCCGACACUGACGCUGACAGCGCGAAAGCCAGGGGAGCAAACGGG
rnacentral:rRNA from 1 species